AACGCGAAGAACCUUACCUGGGCUUGACAUGCAUCGUGUCGCCGGUGAAAGCCGGCUAGUGUAGCAAUACACGCUUUGCACAGGUGCUGCAUGGCUGUCGUCAGCUCGUGUCGUGAGAUGUUGGGUUAAGUCCCGCAACGAGCGCAACCCUUGUCCUGUGUUGCCAUACUGUAAAAAGUGGAACUCGCAGGAGACCGCCAGGGAUAACCUGGAGGAAGGUGGGGAUGACGUCAAGUCCUCAUGGCCUUUAUGUCCAGGGCUACACACGUGCUACAAUGGACGGUACAAAGGGCUGCCAACCCGCGAGGGGGAGCCAAUCCCAAAAAACCGUUCUCAGUUCGGAUUGCAGGCUGCAACUCGCCUGCAUGAAGCUGGAAUCGCUAGUAAUGGCGGAUCAGAACGCCGCCGUGAAUACGUUCCCGGGCCUUGUACACACCGUAGAGAC
rnacentral:rRNA from 1 species